AUUGAACGCUGGCGGCAGGCCUAACACAUGCAAGUCGAACGGUAACAAGAAGCAGCUUGCUGCUUCGCUGACGAGUGGCGGACGGGUGAGUAAUGUCUGGGAAACUGCCUGAUGGAGGGGGAUAACUACUGGAAACGGUAGCUAAUACCGCAUAACGUCGCAAGACCAAAGAGGGGGACCUUAGGGCCUCUUGCCAUCGGAUGUGCCCAGAUGGGAUUAGCUAGUAGGUGGGGUAACGGCUCACCUAGGCGACGAUCCCUAGCUGGUCUGAGAGGAUGACCAGCCACACUGGAACUGAGACACGGUCCAGACUCCUACGGGAGGCAGCAGUGGGGAAUAUUGCACAAUGGGCGCAAGCCUGAUGCAGCCAUGCCGCGUGUAUGAAGAAGGCCUUCGGGUUGUAAAGUACUUUCAGCGGGGAGGAAGGGAGUAAAGUUAAUACCUUUGCUCAUUGACGUUACCCGCAGAAGAAGCACCGGCUAACUCCGUG
rnacentral:rRNA from 1 species